rnacentral:misc_RNA from 1 species
CUCCGCCUCUCCUCUUUUUCUUGGGUCUAUCACCUCCGCUCACAAAUCUCUGUCUCCUUCGUUCGUGUCUGUCUUCCGGUUGAUGAUGAACUUGUUGUUUUCUUAGGCGUAGGUGUAGGUGCUCUUCUCUUAUUCGUAUGAGUUGUAUAUGGUUGAGUGAAACCUCUUGAAGAGCUUUUCCUUACCUAUGUCCCUUAGCCAAUCAAGCCUUACUUUCUUUCCCUUUUCUUCUUUUGUUUCCUGCCUCGGUCAGCUUUUCUUUGAUCUAUCUCCGCGGGUCACUAAACUAACCUUCUCUGGUCCGCUUUGGCUAUUGAACUAAUCUUCUUCGAACCCCCAGGCCGAACUCGGAAAGUCCAACCAAUGUAUGAUACCCCCGACACUGCAACCGUCUCUUCAAUCGGGUCAAGUCCGCCAUCGAACCCCCUAGACCCCAAGCCAGUAAGUUUGA